rnacentral:rRNA from 1 species
GAGGAAUAUUGGUCAAUGGGCGCGAGCCUGAACCAGCCAAGUAGCGUGCAGGAUGACGGCCCUAUGGGUUGUAAACUGCUUUUGUAUGGGGAUAAAGUCAAUCACGUGUGAUUGUUUGCAGGUACCAUACGAAUAAGGACCGGCUAAUUCCGUGCCAGCAGCCGCGGUAAUACGGAAGGUCCGGGCGUUAUCCGGAUUUAUUGGGUUUAAAGGGAGCGUAGGCCGGAGAUUAAGUGUGUUGUGAAAUGUAGACGCUCAACGUCUGACUUGCAGCGCAUACUGGUUUCCUUGAGUACGCACAACGUUGGCGGAAUUCGUCGUGUAGCGGUGAAAUGCUUAGAUAUGACGAAGAACUCCGAUUGCGAAGGCAGCUGACGGGAGCGCAACUGACGCUUAAGCUCGAAGGUGCGGGUAUCGAACAGGAUUAGAUACCCUGGUAGUCCGCACAGUAAACGAUGGAUGCCCGCUGUUGGUACCUGGUAUCAGCGGCUAAGCGAAAGCAUUAAGCAUCCCACCUGGGGAGUACGCCGGCAACGGUG